AAACCAUGAUGAGGGCAAUGGCGAACCAAAUUCUUAUAUCUUUGCCAGGUUUCGUACAAUGAUUUAGAAUCUAGCUGCUUGAAUGAUGUGAUAUCAUUUCUCAUUUU
rnacentral:snoRNA from 1 species